AUGUCACGGAUCGGAGAUUUGAUGCCGAGGGAGCGGUCUGUCAAGUCAACAAGUCACUCAAGGAAGGCUGAUGGGAAUUCUGCGAAUGUGAGUGGUACACCACAUGACAUUGCCAAACAUUGCCACGAUGAAGAGUUGGGAAACAUAGGAGGAAAACUUUGCAAGAAUGAUGGCCACUCCUUCAAGGAGAGCUGCAGUAUCACAAAUUCUGAAGUCCUCACCAGAGUGAAAUGGUCAGAGGAGGAAGAUAAGGUGCUCACUCAAAUGAUCAACAAACAUGGGCUGAAAAACUGGCAAAUGGUCGCACAUGCUAUACCUGGCCGAAGUGCACCGCAAUGCCGACAAAGGUGGAGAUACAAAAUAGACUCUGCAAUAAACAAGGAGGCGUGGUCGGAACAAGAGGAGUUGAGACUGAUUCGUGCUCAUCAAAUCUAUGGAACUAAAUGGCGUGAAAUGGUCAAACAUUUUCCUGGGAGGACGAAUGGUGCAAUCAAAGAAUAUUGGAGGGGUCCUAUGAAAAGAAAAUUGAAUUCAUAUUUAUCGUCAGGUUUGCUUGAACAAUUUCCAGACAUUCUGGAAAACCUGUCAGGCACACAGAAUAAUAGUUUGGAUAUUCUGAAGGGGACUAAAGUUUCUGAUAUUCUGAAUGACACUGAAGGUUUGUCUGAGAGAAAUGAAAUGUCGUCAGCUGUACCAAGAAUUUCCAUAUCUGAAGUAAGCUUCACAGAAGUAGGUGAAAAUGCUGAUGUACCAGGGGGAGAAAGUGCAGAUUUCAUGUAUGCUAGAGUGGCAUCAGCCAAAGCCCCUGAAAACAUAAUCGCAAGAUCUGAGCAGCAUGCGAAAACCAGGAGGAAGUUGGAUUUAUUGUCAAGCCCAGUGGAACUCAAGUCAUCCAGUCAUGAAGUAAAUUCUCAAAGGCCUCUACAGCAAAGGGAACAAAUGAGUCCAGCUGUUGGUGGUGUCUCUCCAUCAAAUGGAUGCCAUGAUGUUUUGCCAAAAAUCCUAUCAGAAUGUGCAAAGCCGGUUUUAUCAUCAACUGGUAGCUACCAGCCCAGUGAUGUUCAUUCUGCGGGAACCUCAGAUCCAUGUUCAUUAGAGCUAGACAUAUCAGAUCUUAUGGAAAUGUCAUACUUUGAUAACUUGUUGAUCUUUCCUCCUGGUUCUCCACAUGAUGGUAACUCAAUAUAA
rnacentral:rRNA from 1 species